rnacentral:rRNA from 1 species
UUAAGAUACUAAGAGCAUACGGUGGAUGCCUUGGCGAUAUCUGCCGACGAAGGACGUGACAAGCUGCGAAAAGCUGCGGAGAGAUGCAAAUAAUCGGCGACCCGCAGACAUCCGAAUGGAGAAAUCCGGCUGUGAUGAUGCACAGCCAUCCAUGCCCAAGAGCAUGAGAAGGGAACCGGGCGAACUGAAACAUCUAAGUAGCCCGAGGAAAAGAAAUCAAACGAGAUACCCCAAGUAGCGGCGAGCGAACAGGGAAGAAGCCCAAACCGGUGAAGGAAACUUUACCGGGGUUGAGGACCAUCAGAACCGCGAAGAACCUUAGCCGAAACUGUUGGGAAACAGUGCCGAAGACAGUGAAAGCCUGGUAGGCGAAAAAGAGAAACGCGGAGAUGGCACCAGAGUACCGCGGGACACGAGAAAUCCCGUGGGAAGCAGGGGGGACCACCCUCCAAGGCAAAACACAGAUAUCGACCGAUAGCGCAUAGUACCAUGAGGGAAAGGUGAAAAGCACCCCGGGAGGGGAAUGAAAGAGAACCUGAAACCGUAUGUUUACAAGCAGUCGGAGACCGCUUAAUAAUAAGGUCGACGGCGUGCCUAUUGAAGAAUGAACCGGCGAGUUACGAAGCCUGGCAAGGUUAAGCAGGAAAUGCGGAGCCGAAGCGAAAGCGAGUCUUAAGAGGGCGCAAGUCAGGAAGCGUAGACCCGAAACCACAGUGAUCUACCCAUGUCCAGGUUGAAACACAGGUAAAAAUGUGUGGAGGACCGAACCUAUAUCCGUUGAAAAGGGUUAGGAUGAGGUGUGGGUAGGGGUGAAAUUCCAAUCGAACGUGGAGAUAGCUGGUUCUCCCCGAAAUAGCUUUAGGGCUAGCCUCAGGGAAAAGAUUGCAGGCGGUAGAGCACUGAUCAGGAGAGGGACCUACCCGGUUACCAAACCCAGUCAAACUCCGAAUGGCUGCAAUCAUACCUGGGAGUCAGACUGCGACUAAUAAGGGCCGCAGUCAAAAGGGAAACAGCCCAGACCAUCAGCUAAGGUCCCCAAUGCCGUGCUAAGUGGCGAAGGAUGUGGCAUUUCAUAAACAACCAGGAUGUUGGCUCAGAAGCAGCCACCAUUUAAAGAGUGCGUAAUAGCUCACUGGUCGAGAGACGCUGCGCCGAAAAUGUCCGGGGCUCAAGCACGGAACCGAAGCUAUGGCAUGAUAGCAAUAUCAUGGGUAGGGGAGCGUUCUUAUAAGGAAGAAGCAUGACCGGAAGGACAUGUGGACAAAUAAGAAGUGAGAAUGCCGGUAUGAGUAUCGAAAAGAAAGGUGAGAAUCCUUUCCACCGAAAGCCCGAGGGUUCCUGAGCAACGAUCGUCGACUCAGGGUAAGUCGGGACCUAAGCCGAGGCGAGAAGCGUAGGCGAUGGACAACAGGUUGAAAUUCCUGUACCGGAUCAAGUCGAUCGAGCGAAGGAGCGACGCAGGAGGGCACAUGAUCGCGCGGCUGGAAGAGCGCGUCCAAGUGCGUAUGUUGCCGCAGAGGAAAACCCCUGCAGCUAAAAGCAGAGACAUGAUGGGGAGUUAAAGGAAACUUUGACGAACUCAUGGAUCCCACACUGCCAAGAAAAACUUCUAGCGAGACAAGAUCCGCCCGUACCGUAAACCGACACAGGUAGGCGGGGAGAGAAUCCUAAGGUGCGCGGGAAAACCCUCGUUAAGGAACUCGGCAAAUUGCAUCCGUAACCUAGGGAGAAGGAUGGCCCCCGGUCAGUGAAGAGCAGAAACGCUCAGAGCUAAAAGGGGCGGCAGAAAAGAGGCCCAAGCAACUGUUUACCAAAAACACAGGUGCCUGCGAAAGCGAAAGCUGAAGUAUAGGUGCUGACGCCUGCCCGGUGCCGGAAGGUUAAGGAGAGAAGUUAGCGAACGCGAAGCAUCGAACUGAAGCCCCGGUGAACGGCGGCCGUAACUAUAACGGUCCUAAGGUAGCGAAAUUCCUUGUCGGGUAAG